CUUCAGAAAGAUCUAGUGUAUUAGCUGCCUAAAGCUUUUCUACAGGACCAAGGUCAGAGGUAGCAGGAUUCUUCCUGCAAAAGGAGUAUGCCACCUUUUAACUGCCAGGCAAUUUGUAAUAUCUUUUUGAUAAAGGAGAAUCAGUCAGGAGGUCUGACCAGAGAUUUGCCUUGGACAGCAGGAUGCAUCUGAACAGAAGAUUUCAGAACCAUUGCCCACUGCCAUCAGGGUAUGUGUUCAAAGAACAGCAUAUCCUAACUAUCAGCUAUUUCCUUGGCAUGAACUCAAAAUGAAGAGGACUUGUGGAGCAGACUCACAGCCUAUCAGAGAAGCACAGUUCAGCCCAAGCAAACUGGGUCACAAGCAAGAACCCGGUGUGCAGUGGCAUCAGGAAACCCUGAGAAAGAGGAAGCUGAGGACACAGAGCCACAGCUGGACCCCGACAUGCCAUCAACUGAAGAUGUGUUUCCACUGCCCCUCCAGAAAUUGCAACAAGAAAACUUGUUGGCUAAGCACAACUCCUGAAUCAGUGGAAGACAUCUUUUUCUGCAGUGUGCAAGUCCCACCUUUGGAGAUUCCAGUCAUCAGAUUCCACCUAUACAUUAUAUGAAUGGGGAACCGGGCCCCACCCCUACGGAGCUCCAGUGGCUAGACUCUGUCUCUGAGGAGCUCUAAUGGCCAUGCCCCAACCUCCAGACUUCCCUAAUGUUCUCAGACUCAAGGCAGAAGAAUGCCCCCACCCCACCAUACAGAAAAAAAAAAUCAUCAAUCCCUGAGCUUCCCCAAGAUCAGGCCAUAUCAUCCCUUCAAUCCCAGGCCACCCUGGAAGCUUCACUCCUGCACUCCAAGAAACCCUUUAUAAACCCUGCUCAGACUUCUGCUGCUUUUCACCCAAGUAGACAAUCUUCAAUUGUGUGCUGUGCAGUGUGAUUGUGUGGUAUUCCUUGGCUCUGGCAGGAUAUCUUUCCCUUCCGAGCUAUAAUAGUGACACGGGGGACACUCCCACACCCACACACCUGCACCACAGGAGUGGAGUUGUAACACUUCUAUCCGGGAAUCCUUUCCCGUGGGAGCAAACAAUGACAAAACUCAACCUUGAACUGAAUGACCCUUGACUGAUUUUUUUUUUUUUUUUUUUUUUUGCUCUACAGUCCUGGCUGUGACCCUCAAACUGUAAAUGUUUAACUCGCCCACCUUACAAUGACUCUUCAUAAAGAGUAAAGAAUAAACCCAAGUAUUUCCUGAGCUAAAGUACUUUGCUUCUCCUGAAGACUUUCUUUACAGCUACCAUUGCCCAAACACAACCUUAGCAAGUACCACUGCUUAUUCUCCUUCCGGGCACAUGCAGUGGGUGGGGGCAGGGCACAGGCAGAGCAAUGGUGUAUGUAGCAAAACUUCUGUCAGCUGCAGUGUCCAUGGAAGAUGAUGGCAUUGGUUCAGAAAUACACCUUGGCAGCUUCGCAGGCUCUACCUUAAUACAGCUUUCCAGAGAAUGCACAGAGCACCCUCAUUUGGAGAUGAGACAGCAGUUCUUUGCCUUUUCUGACACAAGUCUAUCAAGGCCUCCCCAAGUCCCUGUCAAAGCAGGGGGGAGGAAGAUCCUCAGAGGAGGCACAGACAGCUCAAGUUACAGCACAGUGAAUGUUCUUUGUGACCUUGAAAAAGUGGCAUUUGUUUAGACGGACUACUGUGGUAAUUUCUAUAUAUUGAUCUUCCAGGCACCAAAAUCCACAUGAAAUGAUUACCUAUAAAACAGUCCUAUAAAAAGUUCUCAUCCAACGUAGCCUGAUGUUUCCUCCUUUAAUAUUAUAACUGAUCACAUACGCUAACUCAAACUGAGGAUAUGGGGAUUUCAUAAUUUCCUUCCUUCAUUUAGGAAAAGAUAUAUAUAUAUACAAGAGAACUUCACAUGUAAGAGAGCUGUGAUUGCAGAGGAAUUUUCAGUGGGUGGAACAGGAAUGAUCAGCUCUAUAGUUAUUUGCCCUCCCUCCCUCCCUCGCUCCCUCCCUCUGUCUCUUUCACCUCCC